rnacentral:rRNA from 1 species
AACGAACGCUGGCGGCAUGCCUAACACAUGCAAGUCGAACGAGACCUUCGGGUCUAGUGGCGCACGGGUGCGUAACGCGUGGGAACCUGCCCUUAUGUUCGGAAUAACUCCCCGAAAGGGGUGCUAAUACCGGAUAAUGUCUUCGGACCAAAGAUUUAUCGCCUUUGGAUGGGCCCGCGUUGGAUUAGCUAGUUGUUAGGGUAAAAGCCUACCAAGGCGACGAUGCAUAGCUGGUCUGAGAGGAUGAUCAGCCACACUGGGACUGAGACACGGCCCAGACUCCUACGGGAGGCAGGAGUGGGGAAUAUUGGAAAAUGGGCGAAAGCAUGAUCCAGCAAUGCCGGGUGAGUGAUGAAGGCCUUAGGGUUGUAAAGCUCUUUUAACCGGGAUGAUAAUGACAGUACCGGGAGAAUAAGCUCCGGCUAACUACGUG